rnacentral:rRNA from 1 species
GUUUAUCAAAAACAUGGCUUUUUGAAUUUAAUAUAAAGUCUAACCUGCCCACUGAUUAUUUAAAUGGCCGCAGUAUACUAACUGUGCAAAGGUAGCAUAAUCAUUAGUUUUUUAAUUGAAAACUGGAAUGAAUGGUUGCAUGAAAUAUUAACUGUUUCAUUUUUAAUUAUAGUAAAAUUUUAUUUUUUAGUUAAAAAGCUAAAAUUAUAUUAAAAGACGAGAAGACCCUAUAAAUCUUUAUAUUUUAUUGGGGUGAUAAAGAAAUUAAAUGAACUUUCAAUUUAAAAUUAACAUUAAUUAAUGAAUUUAUGAUCCAUUUAUUAUGAUUAAAAAAUUAAGUUACUUUAGGGAUAACAGCGUAAUUUUUUUAGAGAGUUCUUAUUAAUAGAAAAGAUUGCGACCUCGAUGU